rnacentral:rRNA from 1 species
CCUCGGGCGGCAGCAGUGGGGAAUAUUGGACAAUGGGCGAAAGCCUGAUCCAGCCAUGCCGCGUGUGUGAAGAAGGCCUUCGGGUUGUAAAGCACUUUCAGUGGGGAAGAAAGCCUUGGGGCUAAUACCCUCGAGGAAGGACAUCACCCACAGAAGAAGCACCGGCUAACUCCGUGCCAGCAGCCGCGGUAAUACGGAGGGUGCGAGCGUUAAUCGGAAUUACUGGGCGUAAAGCGCGCGUAGGCGGUCUGAUAAGCCGGUUGUGAAAGCCCCGGGCUCAACCUGGGAACGGCAUCCGGAACUGUCAGGCUAGAGUGCAGGAGAGGAAGGUAGAAUUCCCGGUGUAGCGGUGAAAUGCGCAGAGAUCGGGAGGAAUACCAGUGGCGAAGGCGGCCUUCUGGACUGACACUGACGCUGAGGUGCGAAAGCGUGGGUAGCAAACAGGAUUAGAUACCCUAGUAGUC